CAGGGAGACAAAAAAUAGAUUGUGUUGCUUGAGUAGAUUUAAUCUCAAGCCAUAAUCCUGUCACCUUAGGUCGAUCGGUACCUCAAAUUAAUAGAAGUUUCUAUCGGAAAUCUGAUAUUGAUUUCAGUUCCUAAACUUGUCUAGGUCACACCCAAAUGAGGGUACUCCUGGGCCAUUAGCUCAGGUGGUUAGAGCGCACCCCUGAUAAGGGUGAGGUCCCUGGUUCAAGUCCAGGAUGGCCCAUUCGGUUUUGGGGGUAUAGCUCAGUUGGUAGAGCGCCUGCUUUGCAAGCAGGAUGUCAGCGGUUCGAGUCCGCUUACCUCCACUGAUCGAAGACCUCCUGAUUCAUGAAACCCAGGAGAAUAUUGUUUGGUGUGAUUUAGAAUUUAGUUAUAUCUGAAAUGAUCCUAGCUUCCUGUCAUACCUUCUUCUAAAAAAGAAUUUAGAUAAGCUUGAUAAGAUGCUGGGCUCACUACAUUCGCAAGUUUUGUAGAUGUAGUUCAGUAGAACCUUGACAACUGCAUAGGUGAGUCUGGAAAAGAAUAAAGCAUCUCAUAGAUGCAUGAUUCUUUUAAAUCAAUAACUUGAAUUCCAAUUGGCAAUUCUUUGUUUUGAUUUGGAAGAAUAAUGUUCAAUUCUUAAGAUUAAGACUGAACUCUGUACUCUGAUUUGAUAUUUAUUUUCUAAAUAUCAUUAACAACAAUUUAAUUGCUUUAACUAUUGCUUUUAAUUGUUUUAUUGCAUUAAUUGCGGAUCAUUACAGAGGAAAAU
rnacentral:tRNA from 1 species